UGCCUUUCAGGGGCCUUUAUUUCCCCCUCGGUAAAUGGGCCAGAGGGAGGGGCCCUGUUGGCAGUGCAGGAGUUCCAGAGGACUUCCCUACAUGGGAAUGGCUGACGGGGGUAGGAUGGUGGUCUUUCAGGUAUUUUGAAGGUAAGAGACCUGCGGUCAGAACUCAGUGGGGGCCUCGGCCUUCAAGUGCCCCCAGCAACCACCGAGGGAAGCCUGAUCACUGGCCCAUGUCACAAAUGAGGAGACUGAGGCACAGAGUGGUGAACUGUCACACUCAAGGUCAUAGCCCCCAGAGGGUGGCUGAGCCAGGACCCAAAUCCAGGCCGCUGCUGUCCUGCCAUCCCACACUCAGGAGCCAGGAGCCAUCGCCUGUCUCGGUCCUCGAGUGGGAGCCUGCUUCUUCCGCACAGAUGGAAAGACAGGCUGAGACAAUGGGGCGUGGCCAGCCUCACUGCCUGUCCCAUCAUGGGACCCACCCUCACACACCUUAUAAGACUGACUGGCUUGUCCCCAUUCUACAGACGAGGACACUGAUGGUGGCAGGGGAGCCGGAGCUGUGCCUCUGCCUCUCUGGGCCCCGGCCUGGAGUCCUCCUUACCACAGCGCGAGGGAGUCACCAACACCCUUAUCUCAGAGCCCCACACCAUACCCGAGGUAGGUGACACCUCACCAUGGAGAGACCGAGACACUGGGGGCAAAGGCUUCCUCAGGUCACCCUGGGUCAGCCAUGGGGAGGGCACAGACCUGCCCCCCCGCUGAGCUGAGCAGCAGUCACUGCUGAGCUUGCCGGGGCGUCUGGCCCAUUUGUCCCUGUGUUGACCUCCAGAUUUGAAAUGGGCCUUCCCUGCCCAGGUGGGCCCCAGCCCCCAUCGGCCACCACCGCCCUGUCAUGGGGGGAAAGGAGGAGUGUCCGGGAGCCCUUCCACCUCACACCCUGGGCUGGGGCACCGAACUAGCCCCCAGCACACAUUCCCAAGGCCUCUGCUGCAGAUUUGGGCAGAACCCGGCCACAGCCCACCCAGGCACACAGGGGCACCUACACCCGGAAGGAAAAAAGGCACAUGCUGAUGUGUCCACAGGCACAUACGGUCAUGCGUGCAGACACACAUGUUCACACGCAUGCCAAGUUACACCUACACAAACAGGCCUGAGGGGCUGUGGAGGGGAGACUCCGGGACAGGGGGCUGGCGGACAGAGUGGGACCAGGAUCCUGUAGGCGGUUUCUCGCCUCCUCUAUCUGUGAGCUCCAGCUGCCCAGAGCCUCCCCCUUAACACGUGCAUGUAGGCACAGGAGUGGGUCCUGCCCAGGGGCGCCAGCAUGUGCUAAGCAUGGAGAUCAUAGCAAGCAUGCUAUGUACAUGUGUGUGGCCAUGGGCAUGCAGCCGGGGGCGAUGAUGCCGGGGUGCAUCCCUAGCAUGUGUGCACGUGCACACUGGGGCAGCCUGGCAUGUGUGUGCACACGCGGUAUGCAAGGGUGCAGCCCUUGUAGACACGUGCACGUGUAAGAAAACGUGUGUGCAGCCUGCGGCAUUGUGGACAUCAGCAGGGCAGCCCGUGGGGGUGCCAGGGGAGCACUCUUCCGGCAGAGCAUGCAGUCGGGUCCCCAGCCCCCACUCUCAGGACUUCAUACCAGGUAGGGGGAGGGGUCCCAUGAGGGCUUCCAGGGAUGAGGCACCGUGAGCCCCUCGGCCCAACCCGCAGGGGCCCUUAGGCUGCGGAUAUGGGGGCUUGGCUGCCUCCUCUCAUGACUGGCCCCCUGGAGGGGCAGCGCAGGGCUAACCCCGCACCCCACCCCUCUGCUGUUGCCAACACCCCCAUUCAUGCCGCUGCGGCCUGACCCCAGAGACGGGAGAGGUCCUGAGUUGAGUCCAGCGGGGCAAGGGUGGAGGCGGUUGAUGCCCCCAGCCCUGCUAGGACAGAGGGCAGAGGUUCUGGGCGUCCCGCCUGCACGUAGCUGCCAACAAAGCCUGGAAAAAUAUCCUCAGAUGAGGAUUAACAACAACA